UACGAAGGGUGCAAGCGUUAAUCGGAAUUACUGGGCGUAAAGGGUGCGUAGGCGGUUAUUUAAGUCUGCCGUGAAAUCCCCGGGCUCAACCUGGGAAUGGCGAUGGAUACUGGGCAGCUAGAGUGUGUCAGAGGAUGGUGGAAUUCCCGGUGUAGCGGUGAAAUGCGUAGAGAUCGGGAGGAACAUCAGUGGCGAAGGCGGCCAUCUGGGACAACACUGACGCUGAAGCACGAAAGCGUGGGGAGCAAACAGG
rnacentral:rRNA from 1 species